rnacentral:lncRNA from 1 species
CCUCAUUUUCUCAUUUGUGGGGAGGAGGAAGUAAAGCCACUCCAGGGGACAGUGUGAUAAACAGAGCAGGCUGUGGAGUCUGGCCGCCUGUUGCACCACUAGGUCAAGUGACCCAAACUCUCUAUGCCUCAUUCUACUCAUCUGCAAGAUACCAACAGGAAGGAAACAGCCUCAAAGGGAACCAAUGCUUUGCCCAAGGACACUUGGCACUAAAGCGGAAAAACUGGCCCCAAACCCAGAUUUUCUCAAGUCCAGCACUUUCUGCACCGUGUGUUGGGCCUCAAUUUCAAAGAUGACAAAGCUUCAGGACCUGUUUCAGUUUUGUCUUACGAAUGGAUUUGGCAAAGAAGGCAGUACAGUUAAUCCUGGCUGCAACUGCUGGAAAAUUUGCUACACCCUCCUCAGUGCUAGCUGUGUAUUGAAUUUGGAACCUCAAACAAAGCUUGAUAGAAGGAAGACAAAAAAGCUUCCGUUUACAUUCCAUUUUGGUUCCCCAUUUGACUUCAAAGAAAGGAAAGAGAAGGAGGAAAUUCACAUUUUUGUCAUUGUUACAGUCACUUUAAUUAUGCAACGUUUUGUUAUGAAACACAGUUUUCUUUUUAUGAAAUAGUGCAGCCCUUUGGAAGCAGUGAAAAUGCUAAGUUCAGAAAAAUUUUACAUGGCACACCAUUGAUCUGCAUGAUGAUAGAAGGAUAAUUAAGAUGCUGUAUCUUAAUUAUCUGGUAGCAGAAAUAUGAGUCUCCUAGUCUCAAGACUUCAAACAGUAAGCAGUGGACUGUACAAGAUCACGAGGCAGUCAUCCCCUCUCUGCUCUGUUCCCUCUCCUCUACAAUCCUUGGAGAAAGCUGUAUAGGUUGGGUUGUCCUCAAAACCUUAGACAUAUGUGAAAUACACAGGAUUUUGGAAA